GAUCUCUGACCUCAAAUCAGGUAGACACCCCGACCC
rnacentral:rRNA from 1 species